UUGCCUUGGCAGCACAUAUAUCAGAAUUGAAACAUACAGAGAAGACGGGCACGGUCCCUGUGCAAGGAUGACAUGCAAAUUCACCAAGUGUUCUGCAGUUUU